rnacentral:rRNA from 1 species
AUGGUCCUUGGCUACACCACAGUGGAAGCUCAGGCUAUCGCGGACCGACUUAAUUGUCGGUUGGGUUCUUUCCCCAUGACAUACCUGGGGGUCCCCAUUAGUGACUCGCGCCUCACCGUGGCGGACCUUCGCCCCACGGUGACCCAUAUGCAACAUCGCGUUGAGCCCUGGAAAGGGCGCUGGUUGUCGAAGGCUGCUCGUGUGAUCCUCAUCAACUCCUCGCUCGCCAGCCUUGUAUGGUUCCUCAUGAGCUUCUAUAGCCUUCAUGAGACGCUCCAUAAGGAAAUUGCCAAGUACCAGUCCAGAUUCUUCUGGGCAGGCGAGGAUGACAAGCAAAGGUACCAUAUGGUGAGCUGGCCGGACAUCUGCGAACCCAAGGACCAGGGUGGUCUGGGGAUUUUGUCCUCCCGGCGCAUGAACAUUGCCCUCCUGACCCGUUGGCUAUGGCGCAUUGCUAAUGGCAACGGGGGCCUUUGGCUCACCAUCAUCCGGAACAAGUACCUCUGUGGUCAACAUCUUGCAUUCUGUCAGCGAUCGGGCGGCUCCCAGUUCUGGCAGGCCGUCAUCUAG